ACAAAGGCUCUUUUCAGAGCCACCCACGUUUUCGGCAAAAGCAGCU
rfam:Mesocricetus auratus contig023757, whole genome shotgun sequence.